rnacentral:rRNA from 1 species
GGGUCUUGUUCAGGCCCAUCGGCGCAAUGAAAGUGAAGGGUCGCGCNAGCGGCCCGCNGUUGGGUCUCUCCGCCUGGGCAAAGAGGGCGGGGAAGCACCAACGGCUCGCCCUGUCCGAUUGAUCGGUUGGGCGAAGCGCGAGCGUACACGUUGGGACCCGAAAGAUGGUGAACUGUGCCUGGGCAGGACGAAGCCAGAGGAAACUCUGGUGGAGGUCCGUAGCGGUUCUGACGUGCAAAUCGAUCGUCAGACCUGGGUAUAGGGG